CCACCUAUUUCUUUUCGUUUUUUUUCUCGUGUGCGUAUGCUCUCUUGCCUCCUUCCUCUUUCUCUUGCCAGCAAACACACACGCGCGCGAAUGCGAGACUAAGGAAAAAAAAACGUCGGGCACGGCCCGAGCGUCCCGGAAUUAUUCGCCGCUAACGCUCAUCGUAAACCCAAACAAAAUAGAGAAGAAAACAGAACUUCGUAACCACACGAAAAAAACCGAGAUGCAAGAGAAAACUGAAAGUGCAACGCCUUUUGCGUGUGGUUUGUGUAUAUAUAAACGUAUGCAGGUGCGCGUGUCUCUCGCCGUCUGCACAUCAUCCCGCAAACAAUUAGCGACUAAUGCUGAUGCUCCUUUUCUUUUUGCAUCUUUAACAGCUGCCCUGCUGACCAGAGGGACACCCCUCACUCUGCGUGGUACCUCAGCGCCCAGCACACCCCACACCGUAUGCGGUGUAUGCUCAGGCAGCUCCCUCCCCCCUCCUAUCCCCUGCCAGCGCCGGAGCCCCACUUCUCGUGGUGACAAGGGCCGAGAGUGCCUACGACGUGGCAGGGGGGGGGUCUGUGCGAUGCAUGGCCACACUGAUGUGUCGGCGGUGGGGCCCUGGGUGGCGUUGCGUCGGGGUGGCCCGCGACAGCGAACACGCGUGUGCCGUCCAUGUGGUAGGCAGGGUGUCGGCGUGGCUGGAACGCAUUGCACCCGGCCCCGACUGCCGUUGCUGGUGCGGGGGGAGGGGGCCUGUGUGCCACCCCUACGGGGAUGCACAGCAGGUGGGCGCCGGCGUGACGGGUGCGGGUGUGCGGCGACCUGCAGAGCGCGGCGGUGGUGUGGAGUAUGAGGCGGGGGCCGUGCUCGGAUGGCUGAGCCGGCGCGUUGCUGUAGGGCGUGUGUGUGCAGGGCUGCUUGGCACCACGCGAUGUGCCCGUGACAGGGCCCGGCAUAGCGUGGAGUGCAGCUAAGCUCCGAUGCACCGUGACAGAGAACGGAGGCUUCGGAGAGAAAAGAAAAUUCUCAGAAAUUUAGUUGCUUGUCGUAGAAAAGAUGGAUACCCGUGUGUUUGCGCGGUCUGCACCGCCUGUCGAGGGAGAAGAUAAUGUCUCCCUUCGGUGAAAUGGCCGAAUCACUGCGUUGCUGCCUUGUGUGCUUGCGAGCAGUGGGCCACGUAGUGGAAGCGGACUGGAUGUGAGACACCUGAAUCAGCGGGAAGGGCAUCCUCUUUGAUGUUUGUUACGAGAGUCGUGGCUGUGAACUUGAGGCUUUUUUAUUCCUAUGUUUUGCUCGCUGCUCGUGUGAGUAGCGUAUCUGAGCACAUCACUUGCAAGUACUCGGAGCCACGCGCAUAGGCCCAUGUUCGUGCGUGAUGCACCCCGACCUUUCUUUUUCUUUCAUGUGUGUUCCUAGCGCUUCCGCAGCUGACAUAACUGACUUUCUUAAUGUCUGCUUGUGCCGUAGAGUGCGCACUGAAGCUGUUCGGUUGCCGAUCAAUGGCGUGCGGCACCCACCGUGUGGUAUGCGUAUUUUAGCUGGAGCGCCCGUUGCAUGUGGACGCGCCAGGCGUGCGCGGAGGGUGUCGUGAUCGAAAGGCGGGUACAGAUGGCGAGAGAGGCUGAGCGCGGGCGGGGUGGGGAAAGAUGGCAAGCGUAAGGAUGCUCGGGAGAGAGGAGAGGAGGGGACGGCGGCGCCUUGUUUGCAUGUGUGCUUCAGCCGUUGGUUAGUCGCAACGGCGAAAACGUAGGUGCUCUCUCUCUCCUUCUCUUUUCACCGGCAAUGAAGUUGCGCAUAUUUAAGCGGAGGCGCUUGUAGACAUUGGCUUGGGUGCAUGCGAAGCUGCAGUAGCGCAUGGAAUGAACUUCGCUCGAGUGCCUCUGCACCGCGUGUAUGCAUACUGGGCUUUCGUUCGCCAACACAUCUCUCUAUAGCCAGCAAGCGUGAAGACGUUUUUUUUUCCUACUCUGAGCGACGUGCAUUCUCCAUGCGCUGUCUUCUCCACGUGCCUCUCCCGGUCUCCUUUGG
rnacentral:misc_RNA from 1 species